rnacentral:rRNA from 1 species
CACGUAGGGCGCAAGCGUUGUCCGGAAUUAUUGGGCGUAAAGAGCUCGUAGGCGGUCUGUUGCGUCUGCUGUGAAAACCCGGGGCUUAACCCCUGGCUUGCAGUGGAUACGGACAGACUAGAGGUAGGUAGGGGAGAAUGGAAUUCCCGGUGUAGCGGUGAAUGCGCAGAUAUCGGGAGGAACACCGGUGGCGAAGGCGGUUCUCUGGGCCUUACCUGACGCUGAGGAGCGAAAGCGUGGGGAGCGAACAGG